rnacentral:rRNA from 1 species
AGAGUUUGAUCCUGGCUCAGAACGAACGCUGGCGGCGUGCUUAACACAUGCAAGUCGAGUGCGCGCCUGUAGCAAUACAGGUGGCGCACGGCGCACGGGUGCGUAACACGUGGGCAAUCUGCCCUCUGAUGGGGAAUAACCCGCCGAAAGGCGGGCUAAUACCGCAUAAAUUCCUUGGACUUAUGUUCGAGGACUCAAAGGCGUAAGUCGUCGGAGGAGGAGCCGCGCACGAUUAGCUAGUUGGUAGGGUAAUGGCCUACCAAGGCUUUGAUCGUUAGCUGGUCUGAGAGGAUGGCCAGCCACACUGGAACUGAGACACGGUCCAGACUCCUACGGGAGGCAGCAGUGGGGAAUCUUGCACAAUGGGCGAAAGCCUGAUGCAGCGACGCCGCGUGGGGGAUGAAGCAUUUCGGUGUGUAAACCCCUUUCGAUCCGGACGAAUGCCUCGCAAGAGGAGUGACGGUACGGAUAUAAGAAGCCCCGGCUAACUACGUGCCAGCAGCCGCGGUAAGACGUAGGGGGCCAGCGUUGUUCGGAAUUACUGGGUGUAAAGGGUUCGUAGGCGGUGUGGCAAGUUGGGUGUGAAAUCUCUGGGCUCAACCCAGAGACUGCUUCCAAAACUGCUGUGCUUGAGUGUGAGAGAGGCUCGUGGAAUUGCAGGUGUAGCGGUGAAAUGCGUAGAUAUCUGCAGGAACACCCGUGGCGAAAGCGGCGAGCUGGAUCACUACUGACGCUGAGGAACGAAAGCUAGGGGAGCAAACAGGAUUAGAUACCCUAGUAGUCC